CAAGAAGUGAAUCUAAUUUUUUAACUGCCGAUUUUAGGAAAUCUAAAUACAGAUCAGGUUUUCUUUCUUUCUUUCUUUUUUUCAAAUUUUUAAAGUUCUUUAAAGAGACAGAGUCUUGUUCUGUUUCUCAGGCUGGAGUACAGUGGUGUGAUCCUAACUCAAGCAACCCUCCUGCCUUGGCCCCCCAAAGUGUUGGGAUUACAGGCAUGAGCCACCAUGCCUAGCUCCACAUCAGGUAUUUCUAAUGAGAAUUGAACCUACAAAUUGAAAUAUGGAGGAAGGUAGCCUGGGCCCAACUGAACUCACUGUGUAUUCAGAAAAUAACCCACAGUUGGGAAAUUCACAGUGCCAUUGCUUUGAAUCAAAUCCUUACUUCAUACCAGGAUGUACCAUGAUUCUUGGCAACAUGACUGGGUAUUGAUGUCUUGUCUAGCCAAUGAAAUCCACAUAGCAAAGAUGUUAUGAAGACAUGGAAACAUGAAUAUGAAAUAAAAUCAGUAUAGCUAUUUGGAUGAUUAGCUAUCGACACAAGACAGUCCCUGGUAAUUGCCUUUAAUAGUAAGGUAGCACUAGGCCAUGAAAGGUGCUUCAGUGUACCUGCCUCAUUUGUGGCUCCCUUUUGGCCAUGUGACCCUAACUCCCCUGGUCACAAGUGGCUGAACCAGCAAUCAAUACCUGACCUGAAGGCAACCCUCUAUAGGCUGGCAAGUGGCCUACAAAGUUGCUCAGUGCUAGAGAACUGAGCCCAACAGAAGUACAUUCUAAUGUUUAGUGAUUGGCCAAUCGUAUUCUUUGUGAUGGUGCUGAUGGGAAGGUAGUGAUGUGCAUCAGACAUGCAGAGUUAGUAGCAGCUGGAGCAGACACAGAAGCCUCCCUAACAAUGGGCAAUGGAGAAAGGAACAACAGACAGUUCUGAAAGAAUACCAAGUGCUCCUAAGCCAAAAGCUAUAGUUAGGCUGCUGGAGGUACUGCCAGUCCUAAAUGAUGGCAAUGAUGGUCCAUUUUUCUGUGAAACUUGACUGUAUACCUGUUAAGAUUUUUUUGUGUUCUUUUUAAGGCUCCAUGAAUGAAUCUUUCCAAUAAACAAGUUUGUAACAAAGGCAACCUGAACAUUUCUGAUACUUGAAACUUGAAAAUAUCUAAUACAAUUUUACAUCACUUUCAAAUCAUGAGUGAAGAAGUUAAUGUGUUAUUGAAUUAGAUUCCCUAUACAUAUGUCAGUUACUUAUUCAAUCAAUAAUAUGUACUGAUAACCUACUAUGUGCCAGACAUGUA
rnacentral:lncRNA from 1 species